GUCUACAGCCAUGCCACCCUGAACACGCCUGAUCCCAUCUGAUCUUGGGACCUAAGCAGGGUCGGGGCUGGUUAGUACUUGGAUGGGAGACCACCUAGGAAGACCGGGUGCUAUAGGCA
rnacentral:rRNA from 1 species